CUUGUAUUAAUGUUUUUCUGUUUCUUCUUUCUCUUAUCCCAGACCCUAUAUCCUGAAGGUGGCUCCAACGAAAAAAGAGAAGCAGCAAGAUACUUCAGAUUAUGACAAGGGUUGAAAGAGCCUCGCCACAUUGGCUGCUUAAGAACAAAAGAAGACAUUGAUAUGAAGAGUCAGGUCACUAGAAAACAGAAUAUCAUGGGAUCAUGUUUGACCGCACAAGUGGUCUCUAUCAAUAUCUAUGCCUGAAGAGGAAGAAUGUUUGCCU